rnacentral:rRNA from 1 species
GCCUAAAGCGUCCGUAGCCGGCUAUGUUAGUUUUCGGUUAAAUCCAUGUGCUUAACAUAUGGGCUGUCGAGAAUACUGCAUAGCUAGGGAGUGGGAGAGGUAGACGGUACUCGGUAGGAAGGGGUAAAAUCCUUUGAUCUAUCGAUGACCACCAGUGGCGAAGGCGGUCUACCAGAACACGUCCGACGGUGAGGGAUGAAAGCUGGGGGAGCAAACCGGAUUAGAUACCCGGGUAGUCCCAGCUGUAAACUAUGCAAACUCAGUGAUGCAUUGGCUUGUGGCCAGUGCAGUGCCGCAGAGAAGUCGUUAAGUUUGCCGCCUGGGAAGUACGUACGCAAGUAUGAAACUUAAAGGAAUUGGCGGGGGAGCACCACAAGGGGUGAAGCCUGCGGUUCAAUUGGAGUCAACGCCAGAAAUCUUACCCGGAGAGACAGCAGAAUGAAGGUCAAGCUGAAGACUUUACCAGACAAGCUGAGAAGUGGCGCAUGGCCGUCGCCAGCUCGUGCCGUGAGGUGUCCUGUUAAGUCAGGUAACGAGCGAGAUUCCUGCCUCUAGUUGCCACCAUUACUCCCAGGAGUAGUGGGGCGAAUUAGCGGGACUGCCGCAGUUAAUGCGGAGGAAGGAGGGGGCCACGGCAGGUCAGUAUGCCCCGAA